CCCAUUAUUUUAGGGCAUGCAUGGUUGGCACAACACAAUCCCCAUGUUGACUGGCAACUCAAUGUCAUUUUAGCUUGGUCUCAGUCGUGUCAUGUGUCUUGUCUGGGUUCUGCUGCUUCGGGUUCUGUUUCUUCUCUCCCUCAGGUUUCGGCGGUUGAUUUGACCGGGGUCCCGGCGGAAUAUGCCGAUAUCGGUCAGGUGUUCAGUAAAGCCCGGGCCACCUCCCUUCCUCCCCACCGGUCAUACGAUUGUUCUAUUGAACUUCUCCCAGACACUUCUCCGCCUAAAGGAUUCCUCUCUACCACCUGUCUCGUGUGCCAGCAGCUGGGUUGACUACGACUCUCCCUGCGUGAGGUGAUCGGCCUUAUAUACUCUCUCCCACCGUUCGUUGUCUGGCCGGAGCCCGAACGUGUGUGGUUCUUCGCCCCAGUGCCUGUGUGUGCUCCCCGCUCCCAGCCGUCUGCCUUGGUGUGGCUUUUAGCCCAGACGUGCUAUUGUCAUUUUACAUUCAUUAUUAUUUAAAUAAACAUUUCUGUUACCUGCA